rnacentral:rRNA from 1 species
UACGUAGGGGGCUAGCGUUGUCCGGAUUUAUUGGGCGUAAAGAGCUCGUAGGCGGCUUGGCAAGUCGGGUGUGAAAACUCCAGCUCAACCUGGAGACGCCACCCGAUACUGCCAUGGCUAGACGUCCGGUGAGGGGACCACGGAAGUUCCUGGAGUGUAUGCGGUGGAAAUACGGCAAGAUAUCAGGAGGAACGAGCCGGCUGG